GAUGGACGCUAGCGGGAGGCCUAACACAUGCAAGCCGAGCGGGAUUUGUUGGUUAGCUUGCUAACUAACAAUGAGAGCGGCGUACGGGUGCGUAGCACGUGUGCAACCUGCCUUUAUCUGGGGGAUAGCCUUUCGAAAGGAAGAUUAAUACCCCAUAACAUAUUGAUUGGCAUCAGUUAAUAUUGAAAGCUCCGGCGGAUAGAGAUGGGCACGCGUAAGAUUAGCUAGUUGGUGAGGUAACGGCUCACCAAGGCUGCGAUCUUUAGGGGGCCUGAGAGGGUGAUCCCCCACACUGGUACUGAGACACGGACCAGACUCCUACGGGAGGCAGCAGUGAGGAAUAUUGGACAAUGGGUGAGAGCCUGAUCCAGCCAUCCCGCGUGAAGGACUAAGGACCUAUGGUUUGUAAACUUCUUUUAUACAGGGAUAAACCUACUCUCGUGAGGGUAGCUGAAGGUACUGUAUGAAUAAGCACCGGCUAACUCCGUG
rnacentral:rRNA from 1 species